rnacentral:rRNA from 1 species
UACGUAGGGUGCGAGCGUUGUCCGGAAUUAUUGGGCGUAAAGGGCUCGUAGGCGGUUUGUCGCGUCGGGAGUGAAACCCAGGGCUUAACUCUGGGCUUGCUUUCGAUACGGGCAGACUAGAGGUAUGCAGGGGAGAACGGAAUUCCGUGGUGUAGCGGUGAAAUGCGCAGAUAUCAAGAGGAACACCGGUGGCGAAGGCGGUUCUCUGGGCACUACCUGACGCUGAGGAGCUGAAAGUGUGGGAGCGA